ACCGUGUUACGUUUAAGAACGAAAUUAUAACUUAAUUAAUCACGGAACUGAAAGGAUGACACGUUUAAAAGUUAAAAUAGCUGAUUAUAUAUAAAUUCUCAGAACUUCGACUCACGCAACUGUAAUUUCCAAUGCAAUUGGUACCGGCAUCGACUUCUAUCAUAAUUUAUCCCCCUAAGCUCUCCCAAUUUAUCUCCCAACAAGAAUACUAAAUCCUCAAUUUCUUUUUUCCACCGAAUAAUAAUUAUCGCAUUUAACAGGGCAGCUUGGAAGACGGAAGCUCAGCGAAAUAGCCGGAAUGAAGCUGUCGGACGCACGAAAUGACGCGACGUUGAUUUAUGAAGAGAGAAGAGGCAGGCUUCCGCGCGGACCACUGGCUCUCUUCCUGAAAAGCUCGUAAAUCCUGGCCGACAACCAGGAUCCCUCGUGGCCGGUUCCGUGAGGCGAAUAAAGACGAACCGGUACGUCGGUGCCACCAGAAAGAAAUCGAAUCGUUGGCGCGGUCCCGAGCAGGAAAUUAGCCGCGGAAAAUUCUGUGGCCGCGAUUCCACGCACGCGUGUCUCUCGCAAAUUUACGACGCUGCGUUCUUUCGCUUCUCGAUUUACUCGGUCGAUCGUUCGUGCUCCAUUUACAUUUCAUCCCGCGGAGAAUCGGUUUGCAACCUCCUGCCUGCUCUUUUACGUUUUCUUUUUUUUCUUAGCCCUAACUGUUCGACGUGGAAAUUGUUCGAUCACCAGUUUGUUUGUACAGCCGUCGCUCCUAAUCGAAGACGCGCUUUUGUUUUUGCUGCAAUUUCGGUUCUAGUUCAUUUUUACACGAAUAACGAACGGUUUUCAAGCGGACGGACAACGUUAGGCUCUCGGAAUUUCUAGACCGAAACUAAAGAUAAAUUUCUUUUUCGUUGCUGUAUAUCCUGUACGGUAUAAUUUUGUUCUUUAACCGUCGUACGAACGGUGGGAAAUUUGAGGCAUCGAAUUUCAGAUCUUUUCAAUUUAUAAUUCCGAUUUUCGAUUGAAUUUCCGAGAUUAGAUCGAGUACAUUAGAUGGAAGUCCUUUGGAUAUAGCGUGUCGUGCUUUGGAAGGAACGAUUAUAAAAGGAAUUAAUGUUUCAAGCUGGCUUUAUCAAAUAGUUCCGACAAAGCUAAUCUUGAUUCAAGAAUCAAAACGUUUCUCCUAAUGUAUUUCAGGAAUAUAAUGAGAUUCUAUGUUCGCUAAAGACUCUCCGAUAAUUGCGUCUAAUAUUCCUAAGGGAAAGAGACAUGCCUCCUAUGUACACGCAAAGAAAACGUUCACGUUCAGCUCUACAAAGAUACGGGGCGGUGAAAUUUCCACGAGAUCGUGACGAUCCCUUCGAAAACUCGAUCACCGAUUGCAGAAAGCUACGUACGUAAUGUACAUGACGCGUGCGAUGAACGCAACUACGAUGGGACAUCUAACGUGGAAAGUUUCUCGCUGUGAAAAUCGAUAUGCUCGGCAGAAAUACUUCGAUCGCGUAAUGAAAUCAUCGGGACUUGAGAAUAAACAAUUUAACGAGUAAUUAUUUCUUUAUGUUGGGAGAUUGAGAAAGAUUUCGUUCGAAUAAACGGAGUCUACGUAAACAGAAUUCUAAGUUCUAAUUUCUAGCAGCUGAAACACAAAUCACUGUUCAGACUCUCCGUUUGAAUUUGCAUAAAGAUUACAGUUCAUGUACAACCGAUACGAUCGCGACUAAAGCAUAAACGUUGAAACGUCAACGAAACACAACAGACGGAAGAUAUUAAGCUCUAUCAAAUUGCAAAUGAUCUCGCAGGAUUCUCAGUCAUCCCUCGAAAGCUUCGAGCUUGAUAUCCAUAGAUGAGUUCGAACUAUCGACUUGACGUUUCGAGAAUCGAGUGCACGAGGCGGGGCGAGGUUCGACGAUGCUCGACGACGCCUCGAGUGCCUCGUCGAGCAUCUCGAAUUCCAGCAGUCACUACAUCCACGACGGUUUCCGUCAAAAGCUUUGGAGGAACCACCCCGUUGCGCGACAACUCGGCUUCGCUAACACGUUCUCGAUUAAGUCGCCGGGCAGAGAACUAAUUUCAAGGGGCUGAAUCUGUCGCCAUGGGGUGUGUCGGUUUGUGGUGGGAUGGGUGAACUCGGAGCAACUCUAAACUAGCUAAACAACUCUUUCUAAGAUACUCGCCGGGUCCGCGGAGUGCUCACCAAUUGCAGCCGUUGCUUGCAGCUCAGACGCGUCUCAUCUUCGUAUUAUUAAUGGAGAGGGAGGAUGCAGAAACAAAGGAAAUUUCGAACUUGCCGGAUAAUUGGUCUAUUUUAUACUUCUUUUUACUUUCGCGUAUAUUCUGACUGAAAAGUUCGCCGCGAUUUUUGCCGUUUGAACGAAAUUAAUUUUUCCACACACUUUUCUGGUUACUUAACAAGUUGAUGAUUACGCGUACUAUUGUAAAAAAUUGAUUCUCCGAGUUAUGAAAGUGUAUCACGCUGGCGAACAAAGUUAUAAGCUAAUUAAUUUCGAGACCAAAAUUUAAAAUACACGCUUGAAUUCCAAUUCCCGUGAUUCUACAGCGCUAUGCCGUCGCUUAUGUAAGUUAUUAUGUAAAUUAAUAAAUGUAAAAUUUGUUAGAGAUUGCUAGUAAAUGCAUCCAAUACUCGUAUGUAGCUAGCAGCGUACGCGGAAGGGAAAAACAACGAAGGGUAGAAAAGGAAAUAGCGAAUUUUUAUCGAUAUUUCUGCAUCGCUUUGAAGGAUGAUGUUAGAGCUAUUGAAAAACAGUAAUCGACGAUUCUUCGAUAAUCGUGAAAGAAAAUUGCAGUUUUUUUUCACCGUUUGAAAAUUAUGAUACACACAUUACUUCCUAUAUACUCUAAUAUUCUCAACGUACAAUAUCGCGUGUAUGUCUACGUAAAAGCGACAAACCCAUGGAAGAGAAUAAAAGUAUCACUUUCUAACAAUAAAGAACAGAGGGUAGGAGCAAAAAUAAUAAUAACGAAAAAAAGAAAAGAAAAACAAAAACUACCAAUCACAUGCAUUACAUUGAUACAGAAGAAGGAAUAAGAGGGAGAUAUAGAUAUUAAACAUUCGGGGAAGAUGCACAGAACAGAGGGAGAAGCUUAAAGAACCGCAACGACAGAGACAGACUGUAUUUAUAAUACUUGGGAUCGUAAAACAGAAAGGAAGAGUAAAAAAAUAAAUAAAUCGUUUUUUCUAUUAAACGGAGAAAGUAAAGUGUGAUACAGAUGUGAGACGUUGGUACGACGAUCGGUGAGCACUCCUGAUCGGCCAGGUCCAAACGAGAGAAACCACCAAGAAGACAGGACAGGAGAGAAGAAAAAAAAAGGGGGACAAAUAGUUAAAAAAAUAAUGAAAAAAAAAAAAAACAGGAAGAAGAUAAUAAUAGACAAACAACGGGCGAAGAAAGAUCACUCAGGGCGGACCCUUAAAAUUCCUACCUCCAGAGCGGGUGCUUUAGCCUGAAACACAAACGGCAAACCUGAAAAGAAAUUCCGGCCAGAUUCGGGUAGAUUUUGAUAUGGCGUCGCGUUUAACGAGGGAUCGUUGUCGUUGGUGUGGUCGUUGCUUAAUAUUAUUAUUAUCAUUAUUAUUAUCGUCAGUGUGAUAGAACCUAGAAACGAAUCUAUACAUGUUCGUUUAGUGUCUGUGUGAAUCGCAUUUGAAUGGUAAAAUCGAUUUCGUGUUUUGUAUAUUUUGAUACUUCGAGUAAAUGUGAAGAGAGAAUGAGUGAAAAAGAAGGGGUGGAGAAUGAGCGGAUGGAGAGAGAUCAGGCGACAAAAUGCAACAAGAUGCUGCACGAUCUUGCGACGCGAUGUGGUGCAAUGAGUGGAUCGCAAGAGACGCUUUCCAAGGGUUUUGAUUCGAAGGGCUCUGAGAACGAUAUUUCACCGUUGUGAAAUGUAUUUACUUGGCAAUAACGAGAGGAGAUAAAUAAAAUGAGAAACAUAAAAUAACAGAUGAAGAUCUGUUUCAAAUAAUCCGUAAUCUUUUCGAAGAUGUAAAUUUUGAAAACGUCUCUUGUUAAAAUACCACGAAAUAGUAAUAUAUUUAGAGAAACAGAUUUUAUUACGUAAAAUCGAGAAUGCUGACACGUUCGAUCCAGUUCACUGGCAUUCCAUUAGUCAAAAUUUGACAGGUAUUUGAGCGCAAUCGAUUAUAUUUGAACUAUUAAAAAUAUAGAUUUUUUUAUCAAGUUUCCUGAACGUGUCAAGGUAUCAGCAAACGCUGUUGCCCGAAAUUGCAAAAGAGCAUCGAUCUCACUUGCCCCUCUCAACGUGCAAAAAAUAAACCCAUCCGCAUUUGUAAAAAAAUAGUGCAUCGAAAAGGACCUGGAAUAUAUUCGAAAAUCUAAUUUCCCUCGCGUAUGUCGUUGCUAUAUUACCAGAGCGGAUUUUUGUAACGGACUGACGUCGAAACAAGAGGACAGUUGGCGAAAUGAGCGCGGUGUUCGAAAUUAAUUUUCAUGCCGCGCGGUGGCGAGCUGCAAACCGGCUGUCGAGGAAGUAAAGCUCAAAAACGAUAGCUGUCGUUACCCGUUUCCUGUGUCUGCUCUUUUGCAAUUCCUCGUUGCCUCUCGCUUGUUUUAUAAUUUUCUCUCUAUCUCGUUCGAACGAGAUUUAUCCGUAGAUUUUUCGCGUAUACGGUGGAAGGCACGAAAGAGAAACGAGAGAUGGUGAAAAAAGGGAGGAAUAAAAAAUCGAAAAAAAAAGAAAAGAAAAGAAGAGAAGAAAAAAUGGACGAACAGGCGGAUGAAAAAAAGAUGGAAGAGAGUGACGGCAGAUGAAAGAACGUAGGGACGAGAUAGGGAUGGCGUAAUUGUUAUCGGGAUUCUCUGCGUUUCACGUGUGUGCAAGCCUGGCAAAACGUGUCAACUAACGUCAGCUGUUGCUUGAGGCCAUUCCAGCUAAACGGGUCCGGAACAGUUGCAGACUUUAGUCAAUAUUCCUCUGCCUUCUUUUCUCUUUGUUCUAGUUCUCUCUCUUUCCCCCUUCUAUCUUUUUCGUCUAUAGUUUUGUUUCUUUUUUUUCUUUUUUGUUCGUUUUGAUGUUUGUUUUUACCCUUUCCUCGCUUUUUCUCUUUUUUUUUUUUUCGUUUCUGAACGCGUCUCGUGCUCUGUUUCCGCGACACGAUCGACGACGUAUCGAUUAGAAAAGGCAGCUUUUUUUUAUCGGUAACAAUGAACUCUCCCUUUUGCUAGGGGGUAAGAACGACCGACCGGUUCGCCAUUGUCACGCGAAAACGCCGUUUCCUGGUCGAUCGGUGUGUACAAAGGCUACUUCAUUUUGGAGUGGCGGAAUCAUUGUCCGUGACGAAUUUUCAAUCGCGUCAUUGUCAAUACCCGUGCAAUUUGUCAAUUCUUUUUCAUCAUUUUUCUAUAUUCAAAUUAAUAUUUCGAUAAUUAUAUAGAUACGAAAAUUUACAUAGAAGCUAGAAACUAAUUAUUACGAACAUGUGGUUCGUAGCUUUAGAAAGAAUAAUUGCCAUUUAUCCACGGAACGUGUAUCCAUAGUGGAACAUCGAAAAACGCUUACUAAUUUGGAAGUUUCAGGUGGUUGGUUGAACCGUGUUCAAUUUUAUGCUUGCCGAGUAGAUCGAUGAAGAAAAUCGAUACGCAAACAACGAUCAACCGGGAUUCGUUUACCAAUUAAUUCACGAUAAUCUAUCGGCAGCGUCUGAAAGGUGAUCGAUUAAGCGGGCUGACGUUUCAAUCUGGCCGAGGGGCGUCGCUCGAUUUAAUUAAAAACUCAUUCGUCGUCGUUCGCGCCCCGGAAACAGAGCACCGGCGACAAUUUCCGGCGGAAAAUCAGGGAAAUCUCGUGUCUCACCUGUAGCCUGUAGUUGGGAUCCUGUGUCGCCGCGUGUGCAGCUAGGAACGGGUCGUAAUAAACGCUGCAAAAUAAAAAUCACCAAUGUUAGUUUUGUAGAUGCGCAAGAAUUUCUACGCAACCAGCAUCUUUUCGAUUAUUUCUAGAUAUUUUUCAACAUGUUUUUCUUUAUAUAUUUUUUUUUUUUUUUUUUUAGGCGUGUUUCGUUUUCCUUCAAAGUGAAGUAUAAAUCGUUUGUUUCUUUUUUAAAGCUUUUUGUUCUACCUCUCUUUUGUUCAAUUUAUCUUUUGCUCCAACUUGUUUCGACUUUACUUAAACUUGUAUUCAAUUAUAUUUUUCUGAUUGAAUUAUUUAAUGAAAUAACGGAUCUUUCUUGGAGAUUUCAACGUUCGAAACGCACGCGUCUUCGUCGUUGAAAAGAGGCUGGUUGCCUUCGAUUCUCUGUAAACGAAACGUUGACAAAAAUUUCGUUUCUCGUGGCAUUCGAAACGCAAUUCGAGCGUCGAGUGCUCUCGUCUUGUUAGAAGCUUCGAGUUCGACGAUCGACACGAUAUACAGCGUCAAAGGAUAUGAUUUAAUCUUUUUUAUUCGAUCGAGGACCACGCUGUUCUCGCGACUCGAUGAAUUUUACCCAUUUGGCGAAUGAAAGAAUCGCUGCGUUCGAUCAAAUUCCGAAAUCGAACGCGUGCCACUAGUCCCGAGCCCAUCUCUUAUACCUGACGUAUUUAUUCGUCGAGUUGCAAUGCCCUCGUUCGAUUCUCGACAAUUAUAUCAAAACCCUAGCGUUUCUCAAUAGGUCGCGGAAUGAUUUUUUUGAAAUUUUGAACCGUUAAAAAUCAUUGUACGCUGUAGCUCAAAAAUAUCACGCACUUGCUUCCCUUUGGCAGGAUAUAAUUUAAUCGUAAGUUUCCGAAAAAAAGAUUUAUCGAUGUUCAUUUUUAAAGUCUACUAUGCAAUAACAAAAUCGACGCUCGUGAUUGUCAAAGUUCGCGGAAUUAUUUCGUUGUUUGGAAAGCUCGUUAUCUGCAGAUUGUUUAAUUUUCUAAACUACCGACACAACACGAACACCGACAUUAUUCCAAACAGCGAGUAAAACACAAUUACACGAUUUAAUACGUUACUGUUAAUUUUUUCAAGCAGAAUUUAAAUUUAUCUAUUGCUAAAUUCUAUCAAAGUGUCGAAGUAUUUAUGAGCCGCGGCGUACUCAUCGAAGUAACGAAGCUUUGAAACGUCUCCAAGAGUCACGUUUUGCAACUUUUGUUUCGAACAAUCAAAUUUUGUGAUUUUUGUUUCGAAUCGAACGAGACAACGUUCCGAGUCGAUCGAUUUUACGAGAGACGAAAGUUUCUCUUUUGCCAUCUCCAUUUCCCUGUCGAUUUUAUUCGUCGCCGGUUAUCAGGGUGUAUUCGAGCGAGGUCAACGAAAAUUCAUAAAUCACAACCGGCGUGUUCUUCCAUUAAAAACGUGUCGGUAUCAUCGGCGCGAUCGGUGGAUCGAAGAAGAGUAACGAACGAUUUCAACGAUUUACGAACGCGCGGGAAUACCAGCCUUAUUUAUGAGUAAUAAAACUGACGAUUGAUCGGUGGGAAAAUAUGGUUGCCAUGCGGAAACAUCGACGGCUUCGAAAUUUUCCAUCAUCCCCUUUUAUCCGGUUCGCGCCGUGCGAAAUUGUUUAAUUAACGAGCGAUGCUAUUUAUCGACGCGCGAACGCGUAUUUGUUCGCGUUCACCGUUGGAAACUAAUGAAAAUUCCUUUGUCGUGAAAAAUUAAGGAAUCUUUCUAAACGAUCUAUCCCUGCACGUAACUUACCCCGUUAUCGUUCUUUAACCGCUUAAGAAUUAUAUUUGUUCAGGAAAUUCUAUUAAAAAAACAUUUAAUUUCUACCAUUGAUUUAGUAACAUUUCGCCACUGCAAGUAAUUACGAUUCGAUUAAUUCAAUUUCCGUAAUUAAUUAUAUGAUAGGAAUUACGACGAACCCUUAAAUUACAGUGUUCCAUUCAUUGUACGGUAUUUCUAUUUUACGGAUUUGGAUUGGAUUUUUAUAAUAUCAUUCACAUUGUCCAAUAUCCUCUGGGAAAAAUAUUCAUUUCUUUUACAUUAGCUACAUUUUAAUUAAAAAUUUAAUUAAUACAUCCAAUUGACGUUCCAGAAGAAAAAUAACGUUAUCAGAGGAAGUACGAUAAGAACAUUUUGCAUAUCUAAAUUUCUCCAAAUUAAUAUAUCCUUAAGCGAUUAAUUUUUAAAAUCCUUCAUAAACCUUAUACUUCGUUUCCAUUUAAACAUCGAGAUUAUCAACGCUAUAAAAGUUUCUCUAUCAACCGCACCAAGUUCGCGAUGAUCACGUUUAUCCGUUCGAGGCUUCCUUUAACCUCUGAUAAUUCCUCCUUGCAAACUAGUUCCUCUCAAGCAAGUUUCCUUACGAACCUCCUCCUCCCACUAUCCACCGAUCAUAUUUUCACGUUUACAAGAAAAAAACGCUUCGUUAUCGUGUAAUAUUGGUUUAUCUACGUUGACUAAAAGGCUUUCUAAAGUGCAUUCUAUAGAAGGUUCUCUCUGGGGAAAAGAAAAUUGCGAUCGGCCUGGUGAAAAGGUUACAUCGGUGCAUGCAGGAUGAUUUCGACAAGCAGACUAUAACGAGCGAGACACGUGCAAGAGGACUGGUCGCAGUGGGUAACCGGAAGAGCGGGCUGAAUUUCGAUGACACUCGAUGAUUCGCAGCGACAAAUUGGCAGAAUUUCUGUACGGUCGUCGGUCGACGCGCAAAACUGGAUCGGCUGUUGAACGAAGUGUGAAUUUCCACGUGAAACUACGGCGUCGACGUGGCCGGUUGUUGCGUUCGAGAGAGGAACGUGAUAUAGAUAAAUCGUUGACAAACCAAGGGCGACGACGAGACGAGAUUAGACGAAUUUCAGGGAGGGCUCAGGGAAACUUUCGACCACGGAGGAAAGCUUGGAAAAUCUUGGAAACGCUAGCGCUCGUUGCACCAAAGAAGGCGAUUCCUUUGAAAUUCCUAUGGAAAUUCGGUGGAAGUUAACCAAACGUUUGAAAAUUGAUUUCUUUGUGAGAAGCUAUUGUAACAACCUACCGAUUUGUUCGGUUUCUGUCAUUCAAAUAUCUAUUUCAGCAUCGAAUGCUCGCGCGACGAGCGGAAUUGCGCGUUUGAAGGGAAGAUUAAAACGACGAAUCGAUAAAUGAAUUAUUAAACGAAUAAUCAAAGAUUGUGGAAGCACGGAGAUCUGAAUCUCGAGAUGUACGGUCGGAUGUACCUGAUUCAGAUAAGAAGAAGGAUCGACGUUAUCCGUUUUCCUCCGAGAAACGACUCUCCGACGGAGAGAUUCGGAUUUUCUCAUAAAUAGUUGGCUGCAGUAUUACCGAUCCAGUCGAACAGAGUCUAAGAAAAGUAGCCAAUAUCUGGAGAAAAGGAUGUUGGAAAAUCAACUACGUCUAAGUAUAGUCCAUCAGCUGCAGCUGAUGAAAUCCGACGCAUGGAAAUUGCUUCUACGUCUGUAGAUACUUCUCAGACCGUGAAACUUUCCAAACCUACUAUAAACAUCGAUCGGAUAACACCUAAGGAAGAUGACACACCUGUGAGCGCAGUAAAAUUUCCUCUACCGCAGGAACGGCAGGAAGCUCCAAGACUCAGAAAUAUUUGGAGUAAACGCAAAAGAUUUUGCGGGAGACCCGCGUGCCAACUCACGUUGGUUACAUUUUUCUGCCUUCUGUUACCUUGUGUCUUGAUAUACUUCGCUGUUUUCCUCCUGGAUAAGUUCAGGAAGAAGAGGCAAUUUCUUCCUUCGGAGGAAAACUCGAAAGUGUAGAUGUCGUUGGAACGUCGAUGAGUCCGAAAGACGAAGAUAUUGAAUAAAUUAAAUACCAAAGAUUUGCACGGAGUGUUGGAAGUUACGUAGAACGCGCACGUGAAUUCCGUAAGGUUAAGAAGAGUUUCUGAACGUGCACCAGGAAUCUACGUUCUUCCAAGAUGAAUGAUAUCCGCGAAUGAAAUAGUUUAGACGAAUA